UUAUAAGUACUAUACACUGUGCUCUUUGGUGUCUGAAGGAAAGAAAUCUGCUCUCAGGUUCAUCGCAAUUGAACUCUAUAAUGUCUGAGAGGUCUUCUAUAGUUCCAUCGUCAGGCUUCCCAAGUUUAAUCUUUCUCCAAGGUAUAAAUAUUUUCACUAUUAUAUUUUUAAAUUCCACUCUCUUUUUAUCUAUGUAGUAGCAUAUUGAAAACCCUAUGUGAUAAGAAUCUCUCAUUCUCAGAAUUCAAAAAGUUUCCAUAUGGCGGAAGGGAUGUAACACUUCUGAAGUCAUUUGAGUUCCAAGACCUAUAAUCACGUGAUCAGUCGUUACCGUUUCAAGUUUCAACAGUGGUCACUCCACUUUGGGUCAGCUUGCAUUCAAUUACAUGCCAGUUAAGUUCAAGUUUCUUCAUGCAAGAGCGUGCACCCGAACAUCACCUCUCAAUUUAGCUAUAGAGAUUCUGAAAUGGAGUGAGGAGAUAACAAACAUUUGCGUGAUGUAUACUCUAUGUCCAGUACUUAUCAAGUUCUUCUCAAAUCAGUGUAUUCACAUUAAAAACAAGUCUAAUGUAAAUAGUCACCACUAUCUGGAGUAGAGAUUCUUACACAUUGAUCUUAAUUGAUUGAGAUUCA